CCUACGGGGUGCAGCAGUGGGGAAUAUUGCGCAAUGGGCGAAAGCCUGACGCAGCGACGCCACGUGAGGGAUGAAGGUCUUCGGAUCGUAAACCUCUGUCAGCAGGGAAGAACGGUCACUUUGCUAAUCAGCAGUGAAUUGACGGUACCUGCAAAGGAAGCACCGGCUAACUCCGUGCCAGCAGCCGCGGUAAUACGGAGGGUGCGAGCGUUAAUCGGAAUUACUGGGCGUAAAGCGCUCGUAGGCGGUAUGUCAAGUCAAGGGUGAAAUCCCCGCGCUCAACGUGGGAACUGCCUUUGAAACUGGCAAACUGGGGUGUGUGAGAGGAUAGUGGAAUUCCAGGUGUAGGAGUGAAAUCCGUAGAUAUCUGGAGGAACAUCAGUGGCGAAGGCGACUAUCUGGCACAUAACUGACGCUGAGGAGCGAAAGCGUGGGUAGCAAACAGGAUUAGAUACCCGGGUAGUC
rnacentral:rRNA from 1 species